rnacentral:rRNA from 1 species
GAUGAACGCUAGCGGGAGGCUUAACACAUGCAAGUCGAGCGGCAAGGCAGCAAUGCCCUAGAGCGGCGCACGGGUGAGUAACGCGUAUGCAACCUACCUUUUACAGGGGGAUAGCCCAGAGAAAUUUGGAUUAAUACCCCAUGGUACUAUUGAGCUGCAUGGUUUAAUAGUUAGAGAUUUAUCGGUAAAAGAUGGGCAUGCGUGACAUUAGCUUGUUGGGGGGGUAACGGCCCACCAAGGCUACGAUGUCUAGGGGUUCUGAGAGGAUGAUCCCCCACACUGGUACUGAGACACGGACCAGACUCCUACGGGAGGCAGCAGUGAGGAAUAUUGGUCAAUGGGCGUAAGCCUGAACCAGCCAUCCCGCGUGAAGGAUGAAGGCUCUAUGGGUCGUAAACUUCUUUUAUAUGCCAAGAAAGCAAUCUACGUGUAGAUUUUUGACGGUAGUAUAUGAAUAAGCAUCGGCUAACUCCGUGCCAGCAGCCGCGGUAAUACGGAGGAUGCAAGCGUUAUCCGGAUUCAUUGGGUUUAAAGGGUGCGUAGGCGGCUUGUUAAGUCAGUGGUGAAAUCCUGCGGCUCAACCGUAGAACCGCCAUUGAUACUGACAAGCUUGAAUAUAGUUGAGGUAGGCGGAAUGUGCAGUGUAGCGGUGAAAUGCUUAGAUAUUGCACAGAACACCGAUUGCGAAGGCAGCUUACCAAGUUAUAAUUGACGCUGAGGCACGAAAGCGUGGGGAUCGAACAGGAUUAGAUACCCUGGUAGUCCACGCCGUAAACUAUGUUCACUCGCUGUUUGCGAUAUACCGUAAGCGGCCAAGCGAAAGCAUUAAGUGAACCACCUGGGGAGUACGUCGGCAACGGUGAAACUCAAAGGAAUUGACGGGGGCCCGCACAAGCGGAGGAACAUGUGGUUUAAUUCGAUGAUACGCGAGGAACCUUACCUGGGCUUAAAUGUAGAUUGCAUGUGGUGGAAACACCCUUCCCUUCGGGGCUAUCUACAAGGUGCUGCAUGGUUGUCGUCAGCUCGUGCCGUGAGGUGUCGGGUUAAGUCCCAUAACGAGCGCAACCCUUAUCGUUAGUUGCCAUCAGGUAAUGCUGGGGACUCUAGCGAGACUGCCACCGUAAGGUGAGAGGAAGGUGGGGAUGACGUCAAAUCAGCACGGCCCUUAUGUCCAGGGCUACACACGUGUUACAAUGGCAGGUACAAAGGGCAGCUACACCGCGAGGUGAUGCUAAUCUCUAAAGCCUGUCCCAGUUCGGAUUGGAGUCUGAAACCCGACUCCAUGAAGUUGGAUUCGCUAGUAAUCGCGCAUCAGCCAUGGCGCGGUGAAUACGUUCCCGGGCCUUGUACACACCGCCCGUCAAACCAUGGAAGCUGGGGGGACCUGAAGUAUGCAACCGCAAGGAGCGUCCUAGGGUAAAACCGGUGACUGGGGUUA